GUCAGACAUAACAAAAUGAGUAAUUUUCUGAGUCAUUGUGUCAGCAUUCCUUAACACUGUAACAAUUUUUCUGCUUAAUCAUAAUGCAAUUAGUGCUUUUUUGUGCCACAGCUUGAUAUCAUCAGAAUUUAGGCCUCAUAAGCCCAUCAUUUUGAAACUCCAUUAUGCGGAGACUACCAAAAUUGUUGUUCUACUCACAACUACUCGUUUUAAUCUCUUGAAAGUUUCUGUACAAAACUGUAUUAACUGCCGUAUUAAAUGUGUUUAUCAUUUGACACAGGACUGGCACAAGGUGGGCAGGAGGAUUUUGACAAAGACAUUGGCACCCAGAUGGAGCCUCAGGUUGUCCAUGUGAUUCUCUGGCAUGCCUAGUGGCAUCUUGGGAACCUUCUUAAUCUGGAGCAGAAAAAAAUCCAAGCAUGAGCACCUGUAAAUCUUCCUCACUGCACAACUUAUGAUGGAUAGGAGGCCUUAAUGAGCUUCUUACAAGCAAUUAAAUAAUCAGGGAGCCCUGCUGUUUGCCGAUGAGGCUUUAGAGAGCGCUGACAAACGGUG
ensembl:lncRNA